rnacentral:rRNA from 1 species
AUGGCUCGCCGUCUCAACCGAGGCAAAACACCAUCCUUGUUGUUCAAGCUAGAUAUCCGGAAAGCCUUUGAUUCCGUGUGCUGGGACUACAUUCUUGAUCUUCUACAACGACGGGGUUUUCCAAGCAUUUCCCGGGAUUGGAUCGCUACACUUCUUCGUACCUCCUCUUCCAGAGUCUUGCUGAACGGGGUGUCGGGACAACCGAUAAAGCAUGGCCAGGGCCUACGGCAGGGUGACCCGGUAUCCCCGCUACUAUUUGUCCUCGCCAUUGACCCGCUUCAGCAAUUGCUAGAUCUGGCCACGACUAAAGGGCUACUGCACAAGAUUAGGGGUCGUGGCUCCUCCUUUCGUACCUCCCUUUACGCUGAUGAUGCGGUUGUUUUUGUUAAGCCAAUAAAAGACGAUGUAACCAACCUUGCCACCAUUCUGCAUUGCUUUGGAGAGGUCACCGGUCUCUACACUAAUCUUCACAAAAGCUCAGUCGUCCCUAUCCGCUGUCAGAACUACGAUCUUGACAACAUCCUCCAGGGGCUCCCGACGGCGCGGGCUUCCUUCCCCCUGAAGUACUUGGGCCUUCCUAUGUCAGUUCGGAGGCUCAAGCGUGUGGACUUCCAAUAUCUCGAAGAUAAAGUGGCUACCAAGCUUAUUCCUUGGGAGGGAAGAUAUAUUGCUGCUCCGGGUCGUGGGGUCUUG